CCUUGAGAUGAUGAGUAACCUUAGACUUUCGUUCUUCUGAGCUUUCUGAAGCAACUUUUUUUUAUCUGAGG